rnacentral:rRNA from 1 species
UACAGAGGGUGCGAGCGUUAAUCGGAAUUACUGGGCGUAAAGCGUGCGUAGACGGUUAUUUAAGUCGGAUGUGAAAGCCCCGGGCUCAACCUGGGAAUUGCAUUCGAGACUGAAUAGCUAGGGUGCGGUAGAGGGAAGCGGAAUUUCCGGUGUAGCGGUGAAAUGCGCAGAUAUCGGAAGGAACAUCAGUGGCGAAAGCGGCUUCCUGGACCAGCACCGACGUUCAGGCACGAAAGCGUGGGGAGCAAACAGG